rnacentral:rRNA from 1 species
GGAUUAGAUACCCUGGUAGUCCACGCCGUAAACGAUGUGCACUAGAUCGAGGGAGUUCUGACACUGCUCUCGGUCGAAGCGAAAGUGUUAAGUGCACCGCCUGGGGAGUACGGUCGCAAGGCUAAAACUCAAAGGAAUUGACGGGGGCUCACACAAGCGGUGGAGCAUGUGGCUUAAUUCGAAACAACGCGAAGAACCUUAUCCUGGGUUUGACAUGCAUGGAUUAGCUUCUGGAAACAGGAGUGACGCGGCUUGCCGUGGAACAUGCACAGGUGCUGCAUGGCUGUCGUCAGCUCGUGCCG